rnacentral:piRNA from 1 species
UGAAAUGGCCUGGAAGAAGUUACCCUUUU